rnacentral:rRNA from 1 species
GACGCACGCUGGCGGCGUGCCUAAUACAUGCAAGUAGGACGCAGUUGCGAACGGGUGAGUAACGCGUAGGUAACUACCUAUUAGAGGGGGCUAACUAUUGGAAACGAUAGCUAAUACCGCAUACUAGUAGAUGGACCUGCGGUGUAUUAGCUAGUAGGUAGGGUAAUGGCCUACCUAGGCAACGAUACAUAGCCGACCCGUGGGGGGGAUCGGGCAACCUGGGGACGGGACACGGCCCAGACUCCUUCGGGGAGCAACCGUAGGGAAACAUCGGCAAUGGGGCGAACGCUGACCGAGCAACGCCGCGGGGGUGAAGAAGGUUUUCGGAUCGUAAAGCUAUGGUGUUAAGGGAGCGGUACUUAACCAGAAAGGGACGGCUAACUACGUGCCAGCAGCCGCGGUAAUUC